rnacentral:lncRNA from 1 species
UUAGUAUUCCUAACUGGUAUUUGAUAAACACCUGAUGUUUGCUUGUUCUCCCUAGGAUUCUUUAUCAUUUUUAAGUUGGCCAAAAAACCUAAGGUUGCCUUUUAUACUCUAGUCUUUUAUGCAUUUUUUUUUUCCCCAACUUCUUAGUAAAGUCAUAUCCUUUCAUAGCAUAUGGUAUUUGCACAUAACCUUGAUUACUUUGAAGUGUCCCUUCUUCCGAUCGGUCUGUGUGGAUCUGUUGCAUUUUACUAUAAAUGCCCUGCGAAAACACCUACUAUAGCCAUGCUGGUGCCCUAUUUCAUAAAUAUAUUAGAGUUCCUUCUCUUUUUCUUACUGGUUACAUCAACCAGCAAGAAAAAGAGAAAAAGUGAACUUUUCUACUAAGUGACUUACAGUCCCGCGUUGAUUCGUUUACAUACAUUCGCAUAACAAGUUUAAUUUUAUUAGUUUACAGGAGUAAUCAAUUCAUAUUAUCCUCUUUACAAUUUGAUCAUAAACCGAACAA